rnacentral:tRNA from 1 species
GCCCCCAUAGUCUAGAGGCCUAGGACACCUCGCUUUCACUGAGGGGACGGGGAUUCGAAUUCCCCUGGGGGUA